CCAUUAUAUAGCAACCACAUGAUAUGGAUGAUAAGAGGUGCGUUUAAUAUGAGAUUACUUUUGUAGUAAUAAUAAAUGUAAUACACGAACUAGCUUAACUCACCUGCACAAUCAUGAGGGAGUGGAAUUUAACAUCUGUAUGUAAACCCAAACAAUAAAUUCGAUGAAUUAUUUUCCUAACUUUCAUCACUACACAUUCAGUCAUGGAUGUGUUCAAAACAAUCCCUAAUGUGGCAUAAUUGAAUACGAUCAUUCAAAGAAAAACACUUACUAGAAAACAUCCAUAAAAUGCCAAAAUGUUGCUAAAACCAAUAUAUCUCUAUCUUUUGAUGCAACCAUCCACAUUUUCAGAUCAACUAAAUAAGAAUCCUAAAAGGGAAGGAAAAAACUAGAGAAUGAUAUGUUGUUUGCAGCAGACAAUGAUCGUUUUACAUAAUCCAAAUCCCUACUACCUGAACAAACAUAAGUGCAAACAGUACAAGGAAUCAUUUGUUGUAUGAGGCAUAUCAUACAAGCUCUGAAUAACCAAGUACAACUAGUAGCACAAUGGCAAACAAAAGAAACAAAAUAUCGAAAAUAGCAAUAACAAUCCUAACAACUACAUGCGCUCUCCAUUAAAUGCCUCUUUGCUUCAAACAAUAUUGAUGUACUAAACAUGAUUUUUAAGUACAACCUCAGUGCUAUUUUUUUUUCUCAAAAUGAUUUUUAACAAUGUGAUCAUAAUCCUUAAAAGUAUUAAAAUUAACAUAAAGUUGAAGAUAACAUGUAAACUUCUCAUACAAGCUUAAAGUGAUGCAAAUCUCAGAGAACAAAAAAAACUGGAAACAAAAUUAUGAAAGCACACAAAACAUGUAAACAUUUAAGAAUGUCAUAUGAAUACUGAAACAAAAAUCAAAUUAACAUAACAUUUUGUUUAACAAAUAACUUUUUUUUUCUAUAUUGACUCCAUCCAAUCCUCAGAAAGAAUAACACAACUUAACAAAUAUGCCAUGAAUACGUUAAAAAUAAUUGAUCCUAGAAAAGAAAGAAAUGGAGAAAACAGGUGUAGUAAACCUUGAUCAGACAUUAAAUGAUUUUAAACAUUCAAAUGGUCAAAAUAAUCAAAAGAAUCAUUACGAAAUAAGAAAUAGGAAGCUCAGAUUUAUCUUUGUCAAUCACAAGAACAGACCGCAGAUAUUCCCUCUUUUUGCCCAAAUCCCAUCCUAAGAUAUAGGCAUGGCUGCAGCGGUUGCCAUGAAGGCCAUCCAAAUUGCCCUGCCAUUAUUCUCUUAAAGAUUAAAAAAGUGAGCAUUGAAGAGAGAUGCUUGGUCUACGUGGUGAUUGCUCAAUCCAUUAUUGACUUUUAUUUAUCAUCAUAGCCUCUUCAUAAUUCAAAAACAAGAUAGUGAGAAGCAAAGAAGAAAAUAAUACAGCAAAAUUUUUGAAAAAAAGAGUAAAUCAUCAAAACUAUGAAAGAAGAAAAAAAAAGGUUGGGAGAAAAGAAGCAAUCCUCUUGAAUGUAUUAUUUCUUUCCCCAAUGAAAAUGAACUGUAUAUCCCCUAAAUACCUCAAUUAAAUAAGAACCCUAAAUUGGAAUAAAAAACUAAAGAAUGAUUUGCGUCAGACAAUGACCAUUUUACAUCAUCAAGCUUAACCGAUGCUUAACCAAUGGAAGGGCAACAAUGUCAUCAAUAUAAUAGCAAUCCCUACCACCUAAACAAGCAUUUGUAUAAAUAGUACAAAGAAUCAUUUGUUGCAUAGGACAUAGUAUUUAAUUCUGAAUAACAAACAAGUACAAACAGUAGCAUGACAAAAAAAAAAAAAUAUCUGAAAUAACAAGAAUAACCACAAAACCACAUAGUUCACCCUCAGAUGUCUCGUUGCUUCAAACAAUAAAGAUGUACCCCAGGACAAUGUAAAUAAAAAGGACUUCCCAUGGUAGAUUCAUUUUAAAAAGAAAAUCGAAAAAAAAGCUGAUAACGCACCCCAAAAUUAUACCCACACUAAGUUCUCACCGUAGAUGGUUUGCUGAAGGCAAACUCAGACUUACUCUUAUUGGACCAACUGUCUGAUUGCCAUUUUUUUUUAUCAAAUGAUUUUUAACAGUGUGAUAAUAAUUCUUAAAAUACCUAAAAUUAAAAUAGUGUGAAAGAUAACAUGUAAACGUCUCAUAAAAAUUGAUUCAAAUAAGAGGUAACAAUUUAUCUGACAUGGCAAGAACAACCCCAAUAACCACAUACGCACUCCCCUAGAUGCUUCAUUGCUUCAAACAAUAACGAUUUACCUAGACAUGAAAGUGUUUUGCAAGUAUAAAUCCAUGAUAAUGUGAGCAAAAAGGAUCUGUUCAUUUUAAAAAGAAAACUUUCUAAGUUUCGAACCCCAAAUUGCACCCAUACAAAGUUCCCAACAAAUACAGNNNNNNNNNNNNNNNNNNNNAUGUAAACUUCUCAUAGAAGCUUAAAGUGAUCCGAAUCUCAUAUGAACAAAAAAAAAACUUGAAACAAAAUUAUGAAAGCACACCAAACUUUUUAAUAUUUAAAAAUAUCAUUUUGGUUGAAAAAUAAUUUUUCUGUGAUGUCUACAUCAAAACAAUUCUCAGAAAAAUUAACACCACUUAAGCAAAUAUACCAUGAGUACAUUUAAAAUAAUUGAAACAAGAAAAGAGAAAAAAAGGAGAAACAUAUAUAAUAACCCUUGAUCAGGCAUGAAAUGAUUUUAAACAUUUAAAUAGUAAAUAUAAUCAAAAGAUCCUUUACAAAAUAAGAUAUAGGAGGCUCAGAUUCAUCUUUUGUCAAUCACAAGAACAGACCAUAGGUCUUCCCUCUUCUUGCCCAAAUCCCAUCCUAAGAGAUAGACAUGACUGAAGUGGUUGCCAUGAAGGCCAUCCAAACUGCCUCGCCAUCAUCCUAUUAAGAUUGGAAAACCGAGCAUUGAAAGAGACCAUAAAGCCUUUAUGCUUCAUACAAAUGCAUAAGAAUCUGUGACUUGCCAACACCAUGGAGAAACAAUCUUGCGUUUAAAGGCCCAAAUGGUGAUUGGUCAAAUCCAUCAUUGACUUUUAUUUAUCAUCAUAGCCUCUUCGUAAUUGAAAAGCAAGAUACCGAGAAACAAAGAUGAAAACAAUACAGUGAAAUUUAUAAAAAUAAAUAAAUAAAUCAUCAAAGCUAUUAAAAGAUAAAAAGAAAAAAGGUUGGAAGAAAAGAAGCAAUCAUCUUGAAUGUAUUAUUUCUUUCCCCACACCAAAACAAGCUCCAUAUCCCCUAAAUACCUCAGUUAAAUUAGAAACCUAAUUGAGAAUAAAAAAACUAGAGAACUAUUUAUUUUUACGGCAGACAAUGAUCAUUUAUUAUUAUUUUACAUAAUCUAGCUUAAUCAAUGCUUAACCAGGGGCAACAAUGUCAUCAACACAAUUGCAACAGCUACUACCUGAACAAGAAUUUGCACAAACGGUACAAAGAAUCAUAUACAUUAUGGGGCAUAGGAUUUAAGCCCGGAAUAACAAACAAGUACAAGCAAUAGUACGACAACAAACAUAGGAAACAAUUUAUCUGACAUGGCAAGAACAGCCCCAAUAACCACAUACGCACUCCCCUAGAUGCUUCAUUGCUUCAAACAAUAACGAUUUACCUAGACAUAAAAGUGUUUUGCAAGCAUAAAUCCAUGACAAUGUGAGCAAAAAGGUUCUGUUCAUUUUAAAAAGAAAACCUUCUAAGUUUGGAACCCCAAAUUGUACUCAUACAAAGUUCCCAACAAAUACAAUUUGCUGUAGCAAAACUCAAAGACUUUAUUUAACAAGACCAAUUAUCACAUUGCCAUAUUUUUUUUCCUCAAUUGAUUUUUAACAUCUGAUAAUAAUUCUUAAAAGUACCAAAAUUAACAUAAUGUUGAAGAUAACAUGUAAACUUCUCAUAGAAGCUUAAAGUGAUCCGAAUCUCAGAUGAACAAAAAAAAAACUUGAAACAAAAUUAUGAAAGCACACCAAACUUUUUAAUAUUUAAAAAUAUCAUUUUGGUUGAAAAAUAAUUUUUCUGUGAUGUCUACAUCAAAACAAUUCUCAGAAAAAUUAACACCACUUAAGCAAAUAUACCAUGAGUACAUUUAAAAUAAUUGAAACAAGAAAAGAGAAAAAAGGAGAAACAUAUAUAAUAACCCUUGAUCAGGCAUGAAAUGAUUUUAAACAUUUAAAUAGUAAAUAUAAUUAAAAGAUCCUGUACAAAAAAAGAUAUAAGAGGCUCAUAUUCAUCUUUUGUCAAUCACAAGAACAGACCAUAGGUCUUCCCUCUUUUUGCCCAAAUCCCAUCCUAAGAGAUAGACAUGGCUGCAGUGGUUGCCAUGAAGGCCAUCCAAACUGCCUCGCCAUCAUCAUAUUAAGAUUGGAAAACCGAGCAUUGAAAGAGACCAUAAAGCCUUUAUGCUUCAUACAAAUGCAUAAGAAUCUGUGACUUGCCAACACCAUCGAGAAACAAUCUUGCGUUUAAAGGCCCAAAUGGUGAUUGGUCAAAUCCAUCAUUGACUUUUAUUUAUCAUCAUAGCCUCUUCGUAAUUGAAAAGCAAGAUACCGAGAAACAAAGAUGAAAACAAUACAGUGAAAUUUAUAAAAAUAAAUAAAUAAAUCAUCAAAGCUAUUAAAGGAUAAAAAGAAAAAGGUUGGAAGAAAAGAAGCAAUCAUCUUGAAUGUAUUAUUUCUUUCCCCACACCAAAAGAAGCUCCAUAUCCCCUAAAUACCUCAGUUAAAUUAGAAACCUAAAUGAGAAUAAAAAACUAGAGAACUAUUUGUUGUUUGCGGCAAACAAUGAUCAUUUAUGAUUAUUUUACAUCAUCUAGUUAAUAAAUGCUUAACCAAUGCAGGGGCAAC
rnacentral:lncRNA from 1 species